rfam:Homo sapiens chromosome 1, GRCh38 reference primary assembly.
AUUCUUUUGUAGUUCAAGAGUGUGAUGAUUGGCUGUUCAUGAGCAUGUAUGAGAUAUGCCACCCUUGAACCUUGUUACAUCAGCACAUUAUCUGCCUUACC